rnacentral:rRNA from 1 species
AUGGGCCCAACGAAGGCUCCGGGUCCGGAUGGGCUACCAGCCCUCUUUUAUCAACGACACUGGUCGUUGGUGAAGGAGGAUGUGUGCAGAGUUGUCCGCGAUUUUCUUGGUGGAGUGGUGGCACCAGAUGCGUUUAAUGCUACUGUGAUUGUAAUGACCCCGAAAGUUAACUCACCGGAGUUACUCUCGCAAUUUCGCCCAAUUAGUCUUUGCAGUGUUUUAUAUAAGAUUGCAUCUAAGGUGUUGGCCAGCGGGUUAAAAUCUAUUCUGCCUAUUCUUAUCUCUGAGGAACAAAGUGCUUUU